UGGUCUCGAUCUGCUUUUUAGUAGAGACGGGGUUUCACCGUGUUAGCCAGGAUGGUCUCGAUCUGCUGACCUCGUGAUCCACCCGUCUCGGCCUCCCAAAGUGCUGGGAUUACAGGCUUGAGCCACCGCGCCCGGCCAAUGAUGGACAUAAAUUUUUAAUACUUUACAUUCAAAUCAGAGGGUCAGUGAGGAACUUUUGAUCCCCAACCUUUAAACUUAUUAUUGUUUUCAUUGUGAAAGUAAUAUUAACCACAUUGAAAAACAUGAGGACAAUGUAUUUUCUUUUAGACCUUUUGCCCCAUCACAUAUAUUUUACUACACUGUGUAAUAGUAGUUGUAUGCGAUAUUGCAUCCUCUUUUCACUUUUAUAAGCAUUUCUCAUAUUUCUACAUAAGCUUCAUAACCAGUUUAACAGCUGCAUAAAAAUACAUUAAGUGGACAUAAAAUUUACUGCAUUAAUUCUCUAGUUUUGUACAUAAAUUGUUUCCUUCACUUUUUGCCAUUAUAAAGAAAUCAUAGAACAUCUUCAUGAAUGUAGAUUUUUAAAGACACCCAAAAGUGAAAUUACUAGGUGAAAAAGACUAUCAACAUUUUCACAGUUACUAAUACAAACUGCCAAAUUAUUUUUUAAAAGUUGUACCAAGUUACACUUAAACCAGCAACUUUGAUUUUAGCCAGUCCUUAACAAAAGUGCUUUUGUCCAAUUAUAAAACUACUCUUGUAAAAUAUAUGUGUAAAAUCUUAAAUAUUAAAACAUAAAAGCAAAAUAAAUAUAAAUAUUUCCCAUAAUCUCACCACCAAGAAAUAACCACUUAAUAUCUCCAUCUAGACCUUUAUCUAUACACAUAUUUUUAAUAAAAAUUGGAGAGGGGAAGGCCAGGCACGGUGGCUCACAUCUCAAAAAGAAAAAAAAAAUUAAGGAGGGGUGUUAUAUGGUAUACCUUGGCAUCAAACUGUAUGUCUGAUUUAAUAUAUGAUCAAUAUUAGCUCAAUAUAUCAUUAUCAUUUGAAGGUUCCUUAUGUCAUAGUUAGCUCAAAAUUGUAAAACUUCAAUCUAUCCUUUCAGAUUCAUCUUAAACACUGUCCUUCUUAAAACCUCUUGAUUCCGUCUGGGCAUGGUGGCUCACGCCUGUAAUCCCAGCACUUUGGGAGGCCGAGGCAGGCAGAUCACUUGAGGUGUUCUCUUGCUCUUCCACCUUAUACCGUGGGAUGACGUAGCAAGAAGCCCCUCAGGAGAUAUGAACCCCUUGACGUUGGACUUCCCAGCCUCCAGAACUAAUCCUGAUCUGCUACCCUAUCUGUGCUUCUGGGGAGGUGGGCCCAGAACCAUUGUGUGAAUAAUGAUCGACCUCAGCUAAUGGUUCUCAUGGAGUGAUUGAUUUUGCCUCCCAGAGGACAUCAGCAAUGUGUCUGGAGACAUUUCCAGUUGUCACUACUUGAGAGGAAGCACGCUCUGCAUCUAGAAGGGAGAGACCAGGGCUGCUACUGCUCAAUAUCCUAUAAUGCACAGAACAGCUUCUACGACAACGAGUUAUCCCACCAAAAAUGUCAGCAGUGCCAAGGUUGAGAGAACCUGCUCUAGGGUAAUCAGUGUGGUCCUAAUCUCCCUGUCAGUGACUGAUUCAACUCACAUAAUAGUCUUAUGGGAGUGUGAGGUAAUUCUAGCCAAUAAAGUGCAAUGGGAAGUUGGCUGAGAUACUUCUGAAAAAAAUCCUCUCUCAUUCCUAAAAAGAGACAUUCAUUUUCUGUUGAAAUGCAUUACUUUCUUAAAUAAAAUCAUAUUUACCCACAA